ensembl:lincRNA Gm13749 predicted gene 13749
GUUCACAUUUAAAAAGAGGAAGAGACAUACAGCAUCCAUGAUAAACGGCUCGUGCAGCAUCCUGACCUGACUAUCCAUUGUACUUGGUUUGACGCUGCAGCUCAUGGAAACAUCAGCAGAUAUACACACUGUCCAGAUAUUAUCUACGUACUGAGCAGAGCUCCAAUCUUUGGGAAAUCCAUCUACCUUGGCGAAGCCAUUUUCUUCAAUGCUGAUGAUAGCACCAAACAUAAAAAUCUUUCCAAGCUACAGAAGCUAGUGAGAAGCUUUUUUAUGGAGACUGAACCCCAUAGGUUUAAUUUUCUCUACGUUCUGCCACCAGUCAUCAGAGAACUGACCAAUGCAGUAGAGUAAGAUACUGUUUCCCUUGACGUCCAAAGACUGCUUUGAAAUGCCGACAAAAGUUUAGGUGACAUGGAAGGGAAAGCCAGCUCUAUUUUUAAUGGCUUGGCAUUUUGACUCACGGUUGACUCAUCACCCCUCUCACUGCAGCUCCUACUCCCUGCCUGCCUCACUCUACCCUGUUUCUGCAGCCAGAAGCUGAUCCGGGGUCACCUUUUGAUUAGAUCCCAGAAUCUUCCCUACCAAAGCUUCCCCGCAUCAUACGAAGAACAUAUGGCUCGAGAUUGUGUGCUCUUGACUGCGCUGUCACCCGGUACUGGCUCUGGCCUUCGGUUGCCCUAUCUGUAAGAUGACAGGAAUGAAGAAAUAUCUACUGGGCCCCUUCCAGUUUUAAUGUUCAUCCCCCGGAGUGAGAAAAGACAACACUUCUCAAGGUUUACCCAGUCUCCUCAUCCAAGCCUUCCCGUGGCAUUUUUGGCAGAGAGAACACUUUAAAAGGGUUGUCUGCGCGCCCCAGUCUUUCCUGCUUUCUAGGGCUAACAGAUGCGAGGUUAAUACUAAGUGAGAGCUGCAAAGUCAGGAAGAACACAGCCACUGAGACCCACUUCCCACGUGCUUUGCACAUUCCAGUGUGACAUUUGGUGGCUUAUUCUGAAUGCUUUACUCACUUCUACUCUAAAAAGACAUGUACUUUAAGGGGCUCCUUCUCAUAGCGAAUACUUGAGCGAGCAAGGCCCAUGUGCUCUGCGGCUCCAGGUAUGAAAGACUUUUAGCUCCUUCAAGCUGGAGCGCCAGUGGAUAGGUACCCUGCAGCUGAUUUUGAUAUAGCCUCUGACCUCAUUACGCACCAAGGAUCAGAGGACACAACCUGGCUAGCACUUGGAAUUUUCAGUUCAGGUAUUUGAGAUUCCAGCUUCACUACUUACUUGCCAUUUAAUCCUGGGCAAUGGUUUGAACACCAGUGUGCCUUACUCCCCCAUCUGCAACAAGAGGAUAACAUGCAUGUCUGCUUCAUAGGGUGGUGGUUAGAGUUAAAUGGCAUUGUCCACAUAAGAUAAUUAACAGGGUGCUUUAUUCAUAACAAGCAUUC